GAAAUGCGAUAAGUAGUGUGAAUUGCAGACUUCAGUGAAUCAUCGAAUCUUUGAACGCACAUUGCGCCCCUUGGUAUUCCAUGGGGCAUGCCUGUUCGAGCGUCAUUUGUACCCUCAAGCUCUGCUUGGUGUUGGGUGUUUGUCCCGUCUCCGCGCGUGGACUCGCCCCAAAGUGAUUGGCAGCCGGCGUACUGGUCCCGGAGCGCAGCACAUGUCGCGCAAACGAGUGCCUUGGUACGGCGGCGUCCAUAAGCCCCUCUCUCACGCUCUUGACCUCGGAUCAGGUAGGGAUACCCGCUGAACUUAAGC
rnacentral:misc_RNA from 1 species